CACACCUCUCCUUGUUUUUAAGCCUCACAGUGUACUCUUUAGGUCUCUAAGUUACAGCAGGAUUUGUUUUACUUUCUUCUCAGCGGCUACUGUUUUACCUUUGAUCAUAUCUUCUAGGAUCUGCCAGGCCUCCACAGGUGGACUAUGCCUCCUUUAGAAACCUGACAGAGGGGGCUUCUAUGCUGCUCAGUGCCCAUCUGGAAAGGGCUUGAGCUGAAACCUCAGAAGAAUCUAUUGGGUUAUUGCUGAAAAUGAGUUCAUCUGCUUCACCUGCGCCCAUCACUACAGUUCCUUCAAACACAACGUUUGUGACUAAGUCUAGAGAACAAAUACUUAUCCAGAGCUCUGGGGCUAUGAUUGCUGUCAUUGUCAUAGGCAUCAUUAUAAUUCUUGCCGUUGUUCUCAUCAUUCUGAAGACAUAUAACAGGUGAGAUGACAUUCCUUCAUAUUGUAUUGGCCUGAUGAUAGCAUACUGGGUCUAUUUUUAUUCAUUCAGGGUGAACGGGAUGCCUGCUGAAGCUUUCCAGCUUUUCAUCCGUGAAAAAAUGUGAUUCUUUGUUGUUGAAUUCUGUAACAUAAUGCAGAAGAACAUUUAAAUUACCCCUAUUAAAGACAUAAACAACAUGUAUCCGUUUGGUCACAUUAGAAAAGUAUGAAUACCUCUUGAACUUUUGUCACUUUUUAAUGUAACAACCAGAUACUUUCGUGUAAUUGAUGCGAUAGACCAUCUGAAAAGUAUGUUUGAAGUGGAAGGAAAAACUGAGUGUCUCCAUCAACUUUGCUUAUCUAGGUUGAAAUUUCCUCCGCUGC